rnacentral:lncRNA from 1 species
AUUUAAAGAGACAAAACCAUUUUGUUCUCAACCUAAUUUGGGCCAAAAUGCAAUAACCUCAAUUUGUAAAAACACAAAAGUCCACUACUUCAUGUAAUUACAACUAGAACCCAAAAAUUUCAACAAAUUUAAAAACUUCAUUAAAGGAACAAAACAAUUUGUCCUUUAAUGAUUUUGGGCCUUUACGUAAAUACGUAAACUUUUGGGUCAAACUACAAAUUACACAAAAGUACCAAAGCUUUAUGUAAUUGCAUAAAAGCCCCAAAAACACCCCACUUGUAGGGUGGCCAGUUUUGGAGAGAAGGGAGUGAUGUGUGUGUUGAUUUGUAGUUUUAGACUUAAAGUCAUGCAAGUGGUGCAUGACAUAAAUGUCAUGCAAGUGGUGUGUGUGAAAGGGAAUUAAUCCUUACACACCCACCAAUAUUUCUUACACCUUUCUAAAUAAAUAUCUAAUACAUUUAAACAUUUGAAAAAUAUAAAACAUAAACUUUAUGAAAUAAAUCAAAACAUUGAAUCAAAACACCAAACUUUUUGUUCUUGGCAAAAAUGUCAAGAACAAUGAAGAAUACUCAUGAAAAACUCAAAAAAUUUCCAUGAACAUUUUUCACCCAAAAACAUCCCAAAACCAUUCAAACUUAAGGGAAAUAACAUAUAACCAAACUAGGGUACAUAGGGGUUCCAAAAGUUACUUGAAAACACUUUUACAAAGUCAAACAAGAACCCAAAAAUCCACCCUUUGGAUUUGGCCGAAAAUUCCCAAAAACAUGGCACCAAAUUUUAGCUCCAAUAUUCAUGCUCAUAUGAACUACAUCUACAACAUUUGAGAUGGCAAAUUUUCUAACAAAAUUUACGUUCAAAGAAGCAAGAAUAAAGCUUGUAACAUAUUACGACAUUUGAAUCAAAGACUAUGAACUACAAAACCCAAAAGGAUUCACCAAUUACUAAACCUGGCUCUGAUACCACUUGAAGGAAAUUUUGUGAAAAACAUGUUCAUUUAAGCAACAUCUAUAGCAUGCAAUUAACAAUUAAAAGGCGGAAUCAUGCUUGUAUGCAUUUAAAAACAAAACAUUAACCAUGAAAUUCAAAGCUUAGUUGAUUGGUGAACCUUGACUCAACUUA